rnacentral:rRNA from 1 species
UACGUAGGGUGCGAGCGUUACUCGGAAUAACUGGGCGUAAAGGGCGCGCAGGCGGGCUUUUAAGUGGGAUGUGAAAUCCCGGGGCUUAACCUGGGAAUAGCAUUUCAGACUGGGAGUCUAGAGUACUUUAGGGAGGGGUAGAAUUCCACGUGUAGCGGUGAAAUGCGUAGAGAUGUGGAGGAAUACCGAAGGCGAAGGCAGCCCCUUGGGAAUGUACUGACGCUCAUGUGCGAAAGCGUGGGGGGCAAACAGG